GGAGGAGGGGCAUCAGGGGAGGCCUCCCUGAGAAGGUAACUCCUCUGCGGAUGUUACCCAGGAUUUAACCCAACCAGUAACCCUGACAGGAAGGAGGACACAUUCAAUUCAAUAAACCCAUAUACAGCAUCUACUUCUUCCUCCCGGCAUUGUCUCAGGGGUGGUCUGUGUGACCAACGGAAGUGAUGGUGUGUGACUUCUAAGACUGUGCCACAGAAGAUGUUGCCACUUCCCUUGCUGUUCUGUGGACUGCCUGCUGUGGGGGAAGCUAGCUGCCUUGUGGUGACGACACCCAGCAGCCUAGGGAUAGACCUGCGUGGGAAAGAACUGAAGCCUCCCGCCACGAGCCAGCGCCAACCUGCUCCUGCUGUCUGUGUGAACCAGCCUUCUUGGAAGCUGAUCCGCUAGAACUGGGUCAGAGCUCCGGGUGACCGCAGUCCCAGCUGAUAUCCUGACUGGAACUUAGGCGAGACCUUGAGCCAGAACCGCUCAGCUAAGACGCUUCUGAUUUUCUGACCCACGGUGACUGAGACAGUAGGUGUUCUCUUGAUGCUUUAAGGCUUUGGUUUGGGGAGUCGUUUCAUAGACAGCAGUAGACACACGUACAGAAACAAAGGCUUGGAGAAGAGUUUGGGAAGAGGCUUCGUUUUCAAGGCGCCAUACUUGUAUGCAAUGGGGGCGAUGUUUUUUUAAAGGCAUAAAAGAUGAUGAUGACUGUGAGGAUGGGUGUAACCUAAGUUGGCGAAAGGAGUGCCGGAGCAGGAAGAAAAUUUAAGAGGCCACCGCAGUCGUCCAGACGAGAGGUAAUGAGAGAGCGGAAGCGGAGGCACCGCUGGGGGACCGGAGAAUGGCACGUCCACGCAGGGGGGUGAAGGCGAAGAAGUCACGAAGGUGACUCCUGGGUUUUGAGCUCAGGAACACGGGGGAGCCAUGAUCUCAUUUACCCAAAGAGGAAACACAGAAGGGAGCCCGCGUGGGUAGGAGUCAAGAAGUGGGGGUGUCUAUCUCCUGGCGAGGAGAGCUCCCUGUGUCCAGAGCUCCGCGGAGGGCUGGCCACCAAGGCUCCUUCACAGAUCGGGCUGGUCGAGAAGCCUCUCCCUGAAGGACGAGGCUGUUCCAUUUCACCGCACAUCUUCCCCACUGCCAAGUGUUCCCUGGUGACAGCCUCUGCCAUCGAUAUUUUUAGCAUGUGGCCUUUCUGAGCCUGAAAAACAGCAUCCACUUCCUGGAACUUCUCCUCCAGCUGACAGCCAGUGACCCACGCGGGCGGGAGCUUCAGCUGGGCCUGACGGGCGACAGUCUGCCAAUCUGCUAGGGGAGAGGAGGGCAGGCCGCAAGUUGGGCACGAAGGCCUCCACCCCGCUCCCUUCUGUCCUGCUCUUGAGGCCUAACGACGUCAGUGCGCGUCAGAAGCUGGAAAGUAAGGAAGCCUGUGAAUAAAGCCCCAGAGGCAGGAAGCUUCUCCUGUCAUUUCCUUCUAUGACAGCUACAUCAAGUCUGAAGGUAGUACCUGGCCGGGUGACGUUAGAAAACCACCAGGGCAUAAAUAUUGCUUUUGUAGUAAUCCUAGGACAGGCCUGCGUGAAAACCCCCUGGGACUCGUCACACGUGCUGUUGCAUCCCGUGGAGUCAGAUCUGAGGCGCGGCCAGAAAAACAU